GGGGGCGUACUGGCUUCGACGUUUUAUUGAUAGUCAAAAGUGCAUGUCGAGUUUUUACUGUAAACUCGUAAAAGAAGCGGUAAAUCAAUAAAUGCAGAACCUAAUACUGCUAAUGUAUCAUUCUUAGGUUCAUUGUUCGCAAUGUUCGCUGGAAUGUUCACAUUCUUAAGACGUCGUGAAGACGGCUAUUCUUUAGCGUUUUAAGUAUAAUUAAACUAUAGUCUUUUCUACACAAAGUUAUUCUGUUUCAUAGUGUAGAUCAUAUAUCAAACAGAUUUGCUUGCAAUGCUCUGUUCCAAGGUAGCAAGCUCAUAUAUUUGGAAACUAAACAUGUAGUACUUUUCACUUGAUAUAAUGCGGACAUGGGUUCAAUUCCCAUCGCCUCCACCA
rnacentral:tmRNA from 1 species